UGGGUAGGGGAGCGUUCUGUAAGCCUGUGAAGGUGUGUCGUGAGGCAUGCUGGAGGUAUCAGAAGUGCGAAUGCUGACAUAAGUAACGAUAAAGCGGGUGAAAAGCCCGCUCGCCGGAAGACCAAGGGUUCCUGUCCAACGUUAAUCGGGGCAGGGUGAGUCGACCCCUAAGGCGAGGCCGAAAGGCGUAGUCGAUGGGAAACGGGUUAAUAUUCCCGUACUUGGUGUUACUGCGAAGGGGGGACGGAGAAGGCUAUGUUGGCCGGGCGACGGUUGUCCCGGUUUAAGCGUGUAGGUGUGUGUUCCAGGUAAAUCCGGUUCACUUUAACACUGAGGCGUGACGACGAGGCACUACGGUGCUGAAGCAACAAAUGCCCUGCUUCCAGGAAAAGCCUCUAAGCAUCAGGUAACAUCAAAUCGUACCCCAAACCGACACAGGUGGUCAGGUAGAGAAUACCAAGGCGCUUGAGAGAACUCGGGUGAAGGAACUAGGCAAAAUGGUGCCGUAACUUCGGGAGAAGGCACGCUGACACGUAGGUGAAGUGAUUUACUCAUGGAGCUGAAGUCAGUCGAAGAUACCAGCUGGCUGCAACUGUUUAUUAAAAACACAGCACUGUGCAAACACGAAAGUGGACGUAUACGGUGUGACGCCUGCCCGGUGCCGGAAGGUUAAUUGAUGGGGUCAGCGCAAGCGAAGCUCCUGAUCGAAGCCCCGGUAAACGGCGGCCGUAACUAUAACGGUCCUAAGGUAGCGAAAUUCCUUGUCGGGUAAGUUCCGACCUGCACGAAUGGCGUAAUGAUGGCCAGGCUGUCUCCACCCGAGACUCAGUGAAAUUGAACUCGCUGUGAAGAUGCAGUGUACCCGCGGCAAGACGGAAAGACCCCGUGAACCUUUACUAUAGCUUGACACUGAACAUUGAGCCUUGAUGUGUAGGAUAGGUGGGAGGCUUUGAAGCGUGGACGCCAGUCUGCGUGGAGCCGACCUUGAAAUACCACCCUUUAAUGUUUGAUGUUCUAACGUGGACCCGUUACCCGGGUUGCGGACAGUGUCUGGUGGGUAGUUUGACUGGGGCGGUCUCCUCCUAAAGAGUAACGGAGGAGCACGAAGGUUGGCUAAUCCUGGUCGGACAUCAGGAGGUUAGUGCAAUGGCAUAAGCCAGCUUGACUGCGAGCGUGACGGCGCGAGCAGGUGCGAAAGCAGGUCAUAGUGAUCCGGUGGUUCUGAAUGGAAGGGCCAUCGCUCAACGGAUAAAAGGUACUCCGGGGAUAACAGGCUGAUACCGCCCAAGAGUUCAUAUCGACGGCGGUGUUUGGCACCUCGAUGUCGGCUCAUCACAUCCUGGGGCUGAAGUAGGUCCCAAGGGUAUGGCUGUUCGCCAUUUAAAGUGGUACGCGAGCUGGGUUUAGAACGUCGUGAGACAGUUCGGUCCCUAUCUGCCGUGGGCGCUGGAGAACUGAGGGGGGCUGCUCCUAGUACGAGAGGACCGGAGUGGACGCAUCACUGGUGUUCGGGUUGUCAUGCCAAUGGCACUGCCCGGUAGCUAAAUGCGGAAGAGAUAAGUGCUGAAAGCAUCUAAGCACGAAACUUGCCCCGAGAUGAGUUCUCCCUGAGACU
rnacentral:rRNA from 1 species